GUGCUUGCUUUGGCAGGACAUAUACUAAAAUUGGAAUGAUGCAGAGAAGAUUAGCAGGCCCCUGUGCAAGGAUGACAUUCAAAUUCAUGGAACAUUCCAUAUUUAA